rnacentral:hammerhead_ribozyme from 1 species
AUGCAACUGAAGAGUCCUAAAUAGGACGAAACGCGUGUCCUGGAU